rnacentral:hammerhead_ribozyme from 1 species
AUCCAGCUGACGAGUUCCAAAUAGGAUGAAACCUGCGUUCUGAAU